rnacentral:misc_RNA from 1 species
AACAUCGCGCACCUGCGGGAACCUGCGGAGGGAUCAUUACAGAGUUGCAAAACUCCCUAAACCAUUGUGAACGUUACCUAAACCGUUGCUUCGGCGGGCGGCCCGGGUCCUUCCCGGCGCCCCUCGGCCCUCGCGGGCGCCCGCCGGAGGUAAACCAAACUAUUGCAUUGUAUGGCCUCUCUGAGUCUUCUGUACUGAAUAAGUCAAAACUUUCAGCAAUGGAUCUCAGAUCGGAAGAGC